rnacentral:rRNA from 1 species
AUUGAACGCUGGCGGCAGGCCUAACACAUGCAAGUCGAGCGAUCGGCGGACGGGUGAGUAAUGUCUGGGAAACUGCCUGAUGGAGGGGGAAAACUACUGGAAACGGUAGCUAAUACUGCAUACCAUCAGAUGUGCCCAGAUGGAAUUAGCUAGUAGGUGGGGUAACGGCUCACCUAGGAGACGAUCCCUAGCUGGUCUGAGAGGAUGAUCAGCCACACUGGAACUGAGACACGGUCCAGACGCCUACGGUAGGCAGCAUUGGGGAAUAUUGCACAAUGGGCGCAAGCCUGAUGCAGCCAUGCCGCGUGUGUGAAGAAGGCCUUCGGGUUGUAAAGCACUUUCAGCGGGGAGGCGUUACCCGCAGAAGAAGCACCGGCUAACUCCGUGCCAGCAGCCGCGGUAAUUC